UACGUAGGGUGCAAGCGUUAUCCGGAAUUAUUGGGCGUAAAGAGCUCGUAGGCGGUUUGUCACGUCUGCUGUGAAAACUGGAGGCUCAACCUCCAGCCUGCAGUGGGUACGGGCAGACUAGAGUGCGGUAGGGGGAGAUUGGAAUUCCUGGUGUAGCGGUGGAAUGCGCAGAUAUCAGGAGGAACACCGAUGGCGAAGGCAGAUCUCUGGGCCGUAACUGACGCUGAGGAGCGAAAAGCAUGGGGAGCGAACAGG
rnacentral:rRNA from 1 species